UUAAAAAGCACGUAAUAAAAGGUGGGAUCUUAUUCUUUUAUUUAAUUCUUUGGAAAUGGGUUGCCGUCUAUCUCUUGUUGGGAACAAUGGAUCUAUAUCUCAAAAAAUGUUGAAAAAACCGGAACAAAAGAUACAUAUAUGAAAGAAAAAAAAUGAAUUGCUCUAAAUCAUGAAAGAGGAGCAGUUGUCCAAUGUCGGAAGCAAGAAGUGGAAUAAAAUAGGAGAGGAGAAAAAUACAACAUGGUUACAAAUAUUAUGACCCAAAUGUUGAGCUUUAUGCCUGCCGGUUGGAAUCUCUUGCCCGUAAAAACUGCAGCCACAUAACGACCUAUUGAUGCAAAAACAAAGACGAUGAAAAAAUAGAAUAUGUUAGAUGGCAAAAGGCUAAUGUGACCAAAGUAAUAAUGUUAAUCCUGGAGUGCAAAUAAAAUCUUAAAAUGAAUAAAAUAUGUAGGACUGAGAUGGAAGAGAAAUCCCAUGGUCGGUACCUCAGUGGUCACAGAUUUUGCAAUGGAUAGCCAACGUUCCAGCCGGUGUUGACCGAUGGCGCCAUACCGGCUUCUUGGUGGUGGACCUCACGCUUCGCAUCGCGUCCGUCACUAUUGUGGUCUUCCCGUGGAGGCUAAAUCUCCAGAAAGAUGGUGAUUCCACUGAUUGAGCCUUCAAAGAAGGAUGCCAUGAAGGUAUAUAUUGCUACGCACGGUGAACUACGGGAUCCUCUUGGUGAUUAUCAACAUGAGGUACCUGAUUAGCAGAACUCACACCGGCCAUGAGAGGAGCCAAAUAGUCCGUGAGAUGGUUGUCCAACACACAGAUUCAUGGCCUAGGAGAAUAAAUAGGUAGCCCGC
rnacentral:lncRNA from 1 species